rnacentral:lncRNA from 1 species
GUGAUGGUCGGAUCAGCUCCAUAAUUCGGUGCAACAUCGUAGUGAGGAGCAGCUGUUGUGUAAGCGAAAUAGGCAGUACUCUCGUAGUAAUAACCAGCUGUGGUGUAGUAGCCAGAAGUGGUGUAAGCUGUUGAAGUAUAAUAAGUAGCCGUUGUUGCGUAAUGGGAUUCGGCUUCAGCUUUGUAGCUAAGAGAGGCGUAAGAUGGAGCAGAGAAGUAAGAAGCUGACGUCGAGUAGUAAGUUGGAGCCUCAGUUCUGUAGCCAGCAGUGGAAUAAGACGGCAGAAAAUAACGAGAAGUCGUUGACGCGGAUAGUACGAAGGAGCCGGAGUGGAGUAGUACGAAUUCGACUUGACAGUAGUCGUUCCGUAUUUCUGUAAAUAACAAAAAAAAAUCUGGGUAUGAAUGACUCUUUUUAAAACGUUCACAUCUACAGUGACGUACCUGAUAAGGCGUGUUGGUUGUCGUGUAGCUCUCGCCGUAAGUAGAAGAAGGUUUUAAUAUAUAUGACGCCACUCCGAUCCCGUAUCCAGGUUUGACGACGCCACAGGAGACAUUAACAACGCUAGUCAUUAGCGGAACAAGUGAAAGAAUCAAUCCCAAUCUUCCUAAUGCAUUUCAAACAGUAGGGAAGCAUAACUAUUGUUAAAGUACUAAAGUUUCAACUUUCAACAAAGAUCAAGAAGUUUCUUAAUUACAGAAUUUAAAAAAAAAAGCAGACGAAAUUAAAUAAGGCAAAGAAUGUAAACAAUGGACAAGGCGAAAGCUAAUUAUACUUGAUGGUUUGUUUGAAUACACCACAAUGUUAAAUAAUAAUAAUAACUUACCUAUGACGAUUUCAAAAAGUACCAAAGUUGAAUGAAGCUCAACUAAGGGUUUUCACACGUUUCUGAUUUUUAUAUACCUGUGCCCUCUUUGAUGCAAUGCCUAAUUACUCCCCCAAAACAGAUGAUCCUUAAUGGCGCGUUAAAAUUUCAACAUUUUUUACAGUUUUUCAGUAUACAAUUUUUCAGUUGAUUGAAAACUGACACAUUGGUACAAUUCCCUUACACUGAAUUAAUUUUGUAUUAGUCCAAUCCAAAUCCUAUUUUUUUAGGGCAUUUGUCUAAAUUAUAAAUGUGGAAUUCUCAAUAGAAUGGUUUUCUCAAUAGAUGGCGGUAUUGAUUCAUGAUUUUUGUUCUCAAUAGAGGGCCUGACUGACUCUCCACCAGGAACUAGCACAACAGCAGGUGUGUGUCUGUGCUAACAAAACUGCGUAUUUUGAAAUUUAAUUUAAUCCGUUUUAAACGGGUCAUUUCGAUAAAUGGGUUAAUUCACCCACAAUCUUAACAUACUUCAGUACAGGUUGUAAAUAGGAUGUGUAGUAACAGUAUUUGGGAAACUGUUAAUCUGUUAUGUGUUAUUAUUAGUCCAUUAUGUGCAUGUGCAUCCAGCAUUUGGUUGACAUGAGAUCAAAAAUGCGCUUUUCAAGUUUUGUGGGUAUGUUAAGACCAGUCCUUCAACUACGGCGGUUUGCUGUCAAAAGUUAAGCUAUCUUUUCUUCGAAAAUUUCCAAUGAAUUCAUAGUCUGAGGAAACGUGAAAGUGGUGCAGCCUACCGUCAACUAUUUUGUUCAAAUGCAUUCUAUUCUACUGAAUGUGCCAUUGAAAUGAUACAGUUAACAACCAACACUAGCUUAAACUAACCUACAUUCUUCUCAUGUUUUAUUAGAAUUUAUCUUAAUUAUCGGCUGUUUCUUUUGGACUUGCUAGAUCACCGACCCCAGAAUGGACCAUUCUCUCAUUCCAUUUUCUAGAGAGCCUUGGAUAACUGAUUUAUGGUUUCAUGUGUAAGUUCACUUAUCAUGUUACUGAACUUUCUUCGUUCAAAAAGGUCAAAGACUACACGUUCAACAAGAUUCCUUGUUUGCUAACCCGUUGUCUGCCACCCUUGAAUCUCUCUGUUUGUCAACAACUGAAAAAGAGGUUCCUGAAUGGAUGGAAAUGAUGAAAAAUCGCCCGGAAUUGUGCCUCAAGGCCAACCAGAAAAUAGCUCAACGGAUGAAACACGGGCAGUUUCCUUACUCCAAAGAAUUUGAACAAGAUUCUGAUGGCUUAGCAUAAUCCUGCUUGGUGUCUUUAGAUAUCCUUUUUUGAGUUAAAGAAAGGUUUUCGGACGGCAUUUCUUUUAAACCUGGAAAAGUUGUUCAAGUUACUUGGGGCUCAAAGAAAAACAGAGACAUCAUCUUAUACAAGACACUCAAUACUUCAUUAAGUGCAACUGAACAGUUAAAUUAAUUUCAGUGUAGAAUUGUGUAUCUCUUUUUGAAAACAAAGCAUUUCAAUUUCGGCUGCCAUUUUGCUUAAACUCUUCUUUUUCCUUGGUGUAAACAUAGGAUCAAUAUAUUUUUGUUUGCAUUAAUGUAAA